rnacentral:lncRNA from 1 species
ACCCAAAAAGAGUUGUUUUUGUGUGUUUGUUUGUGUCUUAGGGUACCUUCCAACACAAUGAUGAGGAUUUGGUUUUUAAGUGCAUGACUGUUAAAGAAAGUGACUAACAUGGAUGAAAGUUUGAUUUACUCUUUGUUAUGCUUAGUUGUGGUUAUAACUUAUGAAUUCACAUGCAAUCAUAAAAGAAAAAAAAUCAGUUUUUGUAACAUGCUUGAAGGAAGGAACUCAAACUAACGCUACAACCUUGUGAGACUUGAGCCUAAACGCUUAUUUGGAGAGUUAAAAUCUGUGCAUUCUUUGUUUUCUAAGUCGUUGCAUGAUCUCAUUAUUCCUUGCUUGGUUGCUACUUAGAAGGCGUUUCAUCAUUUAGUUCCAAAUGCUAGAACUCAUGCCCAUUUCAUUCAAAGCAUGUUAUUGAUUUGCAUAACACAUAUUCAAGAUGAAGUUGUGUAGUGACCACCACCUUAGCCAAAAAGCCAUGAAUCCCCUAUGUCAUUAUGUUUUGUAGGUUUUAACCCCGUUGAGCCUUGUUUAGCCUAUGUUGUUGUUAACCCACAUUAUCCUCACCUAGCCUAGUUUAGGACCAUCCAUACCCUUGUUCUUAAAGCAUAGUAAAGCAUGAUUCGAAUUGAAUUCCUUUUGAUCUAUGUUGGCAGAAACCAAGUGUGGGGGAAGUAUUUUUUCAUGAGGAAUUGUGUGCCAUAGGCACGGCAAAGAAAAGAAAAAAAAAAUUCGUGGAAAAAGAAAAAAAUGAAAAAAAAGUGUGAAAAGUAUGAAAAAACAGUUUGAAAAAAAAAAGAAAAAGAGUUCCAAAGUAUUGUUUGUUGAAGUAAUGGUCCAAAACAAUGAAUUCGGCCUUAAGGAGUUGUUUAAGUCUUCCCCUUGUGUUUUAAAGUUAAUUUCUGCAAUCUAAGUGAAUUCUAAGUCUCAAUUUCAUUGCUUUGCUUACUAUUGCUUGAAGAACGUUUGUUCUCCCUAUCCUUUCCUUGUUAACCAACAACCUAAGCCCCAUUACAACCCUUAACUUCUACCUUGAGUGUUAUGUGUUUCAAUUUGUGGAGUUUGAAUUUGGUAUGAGCAUAUGGUGUCACUUGUUCUCGCAUCUAAGUAGUAGCAUUCCAUUCAUGAGAUCAUAUCUAAACAUGCUUCUUAACUCUAGAAAUUGCGUUCUUUGUGAAACAUAUAUGUGAGCAUUCGUUUUCAUAUCUACAUCAAUCUUCUCACAUAUGACUAGUGUAGGGUGUGGAGUUAGAAAAUCUGAGUGAAAAUAGAGUGUAUGUCUUGUAAGGAAUUGAGGGAAUUCUCUAAGGCAUGUUACUACAUUCAAAGCAUUGUUUUAAUUGAUUACUUGUGAACUAGUAAGUGGUGGCUUUAAUUAAGUAUGUGCUUGUGUAAAGAUGACUCAUAUCUGUGGGGAUAGCAAUCUUUAACAUGUCAUGUGCAUUGGAAAUCCCUGAGGCAAACGUUGGAAGGUUUAGGUUUUGUUUUGGUUAAGUUGGUUUCGUUUUGUUUCCUUUCUUUUGUUUGUUUUGCUCGAGGACUAGCAAAAGCUAAGUGUGGGGGAAUUUGAUAGGAGCAUAUUUAUGCGCCUUAGUUAGCUAGUUCUGAUGCAUCUUUGUUAUGUUUUCUUCGUUAAAGUAGUCUUUUAAGCUACUUUCAUGUGUUUUCAGGUUUAAAGGACAUAUUACAUGAAAUGAUGCAAUUUGGAGCUUUUGGAGCAAAAAGUGAGCUUGGAAUGAAAAGAACAUGCUUGGAACACAAGGUUGGGAUGAAAUUGAAGAAUUGAAGAUUUGAGGUUUCCUACUUGAAGUAGGAAAGCUAAGCCUAAAAGUUUCCAUUUUGGGUUGAUCUUUCCUAAAUCGGAAUUGGCAACCAAAGUUUCUAAAAGUUGGAAGUUUCUAUUCUUGGAGGUUUCCAUUUUCGUGAGUUUCUAUUCUCGGCUUUGGGCUUUUGGAUGACCCAUCCUCACUUCUUGGACCUAUGCCGCACCUUAACCCUAAUCCUAGCCCAUUUAAUCAGCCACACCCUAGGGCCUAAUCAUUUAAAUUCUGCCAAGUUUAAACCCUAAUCUAUCUACCCUAAGCCCAAGCCGCACCCUAGGCCUUUUCCCAUGCAAAAAUCUGAUUAUAAACCCUAAUUCCUUGUGGAUUUUCUAACCCUAGCCGCACCUAAACCCUAGCCCAUUGUCUAACCUGAUUUCUUUAGGGUUUUAGGUGCCUAUAUAUAUGUGUUUUACAUCCUUUGGCCGAACAUCACCCUCUCCAUAAUUCAGAAAUUCGUCCAGCCACUUCCCACUCUGUGCCGCAGCCAUUCUACAACUCCAGCCACCAUUCUACACUUCCAUACACCAUUCUACACCUCCAUACACCACCCAUACCCCUUGCUGCACCACCAUACCAUCCUAACUCCCUUCUAAAACCAAAAUCACAUCCAAAAACACCCUAAACCCUCUCUGCCGCAGCAAGGAGAAGAAGAAAGAGGAGCUUGAAGUCAGAAAUUCAAAGUGGAAUUCUUGGGCGUUUUAGGUGUAAUCUUUCUUAUGUCUUCGAUGUUUCAAUUCAAUAAACUUUAUGUUGUGAGUAUGAGGAACUAAACCCCCAUAGUUGGGGGGUAAUUCGAAACCAUGUACAUGCUUGCAAUUUGAUUCGAUUACAUUCAGUUGUUAUUUCAUAAGUUGUGGAUUCAAUUCGUUCAUCUAUUUGAUUGAUAAUUUAUUUGUGUAUGUUGAUUGAGAGUGCACGCUUAGUUUUCAUGCAUGAAUAUGAUGCUAGAUUAUGAGGGAGUUUCACCUAAUAGUUACAAUCUUAUAAUCACAAGUAGUGAAGAUCGCUUGAAAACGAUCGCGUUGAAUGAAUUCUUAGCAUAAGUUUCAUGCAAUUCAUAGUAACAAAUGCUUCGUCAAUGCUUAUGUUUUUCAUAUAGAACGUAAUGAUUCUUGCUUGUAUCUCUAUUAUGCAAUUCAUGUAGGGAACUUGUAGGGAAUGUUUUGGGUUGUCGUAUGCAAUCAUCCAACUUAAUAACUUGUGGAAAAACUGAGGGUUAAUUAGUGCAAUUCACGGUUAAUCUGGGGCGUUGAGUAUUUAUAAUUUAUUGGAAGAACAACUGAAAAUCGUUUUGUUUGCAAGUGUGACAUGUGUGGAGAAGAACCUCCUAACUAGCCUUUUAUCCAUCUAUUUCACCAAAAUCGUUUUUACAAUCUGUGCUAAUUAAAGUUUCUGUUUUGUGUUAAAUUUUCGUCCAAAACAAAUCCCCCUCUCAUUUGAAGUCUUAGAUUAGUUAGAAAGUAUUUUGAUUUGUGUUUCUAAGUAUUUUGAUUCAAGUUUUCAUCAAAUUUCGUCCAAAUUAGUGUAGGUGCUCAAAACUGCCCAGAAAGUGGUUUUUAGGCAGUUUUGAGCCUUCUAGUUGCUGUUUUGAGUUUUAGGUUUGUUUAAGCGUUUUAACCUUUAGUUUUGCAUUCUUUGAGUCUAGUUUAGUGUUUUAAACUUUGUUUUUGAGUUUUUAAGUCAGUUUCCAAGUGUUUAGCAAUCCCUCCUAAUCCUCGGUCUAGAACAAUCCCUACUUACAUCUCUACUACCAUUUGACAAAAGAGGGUUUAAUUUGUGUGCUUAUCUAUUUCGCAUCAUUCAACGCGAUCGUUUUCAAGCGAUCUUCACUACUUGUGAUUAUAAGAUUGUAACUAUUAGGUGAAACUCCCUCAAUCAACAUACACAAAUAAGUUAUCAAUCAAAUAGAUGAACGAAUUGAAUCCACAACUUAUGAAAUAACAACUUAAUGUAAUCGAAUCAAAUUGCAAGCAUGUACAUGGUUUCGAAUUACCCCCCAACCAAGGGGGUUUAGUUCCUCAUACUCACAACAUAAAGUUUAUUGAAUUGAAACAUCGAAGACAUAAGAAAGAUUACACCUAAAACGCCCAAGAAUUCCACUUUGAAUUUCUGCACGUCAAGCUCCUCUUCUCUUCUCCUUGCUGCGGCAGAGAUGGUUUUGGUUGUUUUUGGAUGUGGUUUUGGUUUAAGAAUGGAAUUAGGAUGGUAUGGUGGUUGCGGCAGAGUGGGGAUGGUGUAUGGAGGUGUAGGAUGGUGGCUAGAGGUGGAUGAAGGCUGCGGCAAGGUUGGGAAGUGGCUGGAAUGGAUGAAGGCUGCGGCAAGGAGGUGUAUGGGUGAUGGUGACCAUCUAAGCCGAAUGGUGCAUAAUGAGAAGUCCCUACCCAUUGCCGAGACAUUCCCCGAUGAACGAUUGAUGUCCAUAAAGGUAAGUGAGCCUUGGUAUGCCGAUUUGGUAAAUUUUUUGGUGUCAAACGAAUUCCUAGCACUUUCACUAGGCACCAACGUGAUAAGUUAAGGCAUGAUGCACGGUUUUAUGUAUGGGAUGACCCCUACUUAUGGAAAUUUUGCCCUGAUCAGAUUGUACGUCGAUGUGUUCAUGAUUCUGAAUUUAUUCAAUUCUAAGCUUUUGUCAUACAUAUGCAUGUGGUGGGCACUUUAGCACACAAAGAACAACACUUAAGGUGUUACAAUGUGGAUUCUAUUGGCCUAGUAUUUUUAAGGAUGCUAGAACGUUUUGCUUAACAUGUGAUAAAUGCCAAAGAAUGGGUAACAUAGGUGCUAGGGAUCAAAUGCCGCAAGUUUCUAUCUUUAAUGUUGAAAUUUUUUAUGUUUGGGGUAUUGAUUUUAUGGGUCCCUUCCCUUCCUUGUUUGGUUUCAUGUAUAUUUUGCUUGUGGUGGAUUAUGUGUCGAAGUGGGUGGAAGCAAAAGCCACCCGGAGUAAUGAUUCUAAAGUGGUUGCAGAUUUUAUUAGAACUAACAUAUUUGCAAGGUUUGGCAUGCCACGUGUAAUCAUAAGUGAUGGAAGGUCUCAUUUUUGCAACCAGACCAUUGAGGCGCUAUUGAGGAAAUACAAUGUCAACCAUAAGGCUUCUACACCUUACCAUCCUCAAACAAAUGGCCAAGCCGAAGUGUCUAACCAAGAGAUCAAGCAAAUCCUAGAGAAGACCGUUGGGCCAACAAGGAAGGAUUGGAGCUUACGCUUAGAUGACGCACUGUGGGCAUAUCGUAUGGUGUACAAAACACCCAUUGGGAUGUCCCCAUUUAGGCUCAUUUAUGGCAAGCCAUGCCAUCUCCCCGUUGAAUUGGAGCACAAAGCUCAUUGGGCCGUCAAGAAGUUCAACAUGAAUCUAGAUGCAGCGGGAAGUCAUAGAAAAUUCCAAUUAAAUGAACUUGAUGAGAUACGGCAUAAGGUGUACGAGAAUGCUAGCAUUUACAAGGAGAAGACCAAAGCUUUUCAUGAUAAAAUGAUUCAUGGCAAAACAUUCUCCAUCGGGCAGAAAAUGCUAUUGCUCAAUUCCCAUUUACGUUUGUUUCCUGGUAAGUUACGUUCUAAGUGGAUUGGACCAUUUGUUAUUACUAAUGUUUUUGUUCAUGGUGCAAUCCAAAUCCAAAGCUUGAAAACGGGACACGAAUUCAAGGUCAAUGGGCAUCGAUUGAAGCCAUACUAUGACAACUUUGUGGAGCAUGCCAUGGAUGACAUCCCCCUGCAUGCCGUGGGCUCCAAUGGGGAAUGAAUGUGCUCUUCGUCCGGCUGCACGACGUUAAAGCAAGCGCUUCUUGGGAGGCAACCCAUGCAUUCAACAAAGGAAGACCAAGGAAGCACUCCAAUUCCAUAUUUGCGUUCCUCAAACCCUUCUCUUUGUUGUUGUUUCAUUUCUGCCAUGUUUAGUGUGUUUUGUUGCUAUUUGUGCUUAUUUAUGUUUUGUUUGUGUGAGUUUAUGCUUGAAACAUUGAGGACAAUGUUUGAUUUAAGUGUGAGGGGGUAAAUAAGUGCUUUUGAUGCAAAUUUGUAGGAUUUUAUUACCCAUAACUUCCAAUGUUGUUCCUUGUUGUUUUUAAGUCGUUUUUAAGCUGUUUUGAUGCAUUUUAAUGUGUUUUAUAUAAAAAUCCGAAAAUCCCAAAAAAAGAAAAUUGAAAAAUUGUUUUGAAAAAAAAAACCAAAAAGAGUUGUUUUGAUUUGUUUUUGUGUAUUUGUUUGUGUCUUAGGGUACUUUCCAACACAAUGAUGAGGAUUCGGUUUUUAAUUACAUGACUGUUAAAGAGAGUUAUAAACAUGGAUGGAAGUUUGGUUUAUGUUUGGGUGUGAUUAUAACUUAUGAAUUCACAUGUAAUCAUAAAGGAAAAAAUUAGUUUUUGUAACAUGCUUAAAGGAAGGAACUCAAACUAACGCUACAACCUUGUGAGACUUGAGCCUAAACGUUUAUUUGGAGAGUUAAUAAUCUGUGCAUUGUUGUUUUCUAAAGUUGUUGCAUGAUCUCAUUAGUCUUUGCUUGGUUACUACUUAGAAGGCGUUUCAUCAUUUAGUUCCAAAUGCUAGAACUCAUGCCCAAUUCAUUCAAAGCAUGUUAUUAAUCUGCAUAACACAUAUUCAAGAUGAAGUUGUGUAGUGACCACCACCAAAGCCAAACUGCCGUGUGCCCUAAUCCAUUAUAUGUUUAAGUUUAACCCCGUUGAGCCUUGUUUAGCCUAUAGUGUUUGUUAACCCACAUUAUCCUCACCUAGCCUAGAUUAGGACCAUCCAUACCCUUGUUCUUGAAGCAUAGUAAAGCAUGACUCAAGAUGAAUUCCUUUUGAUCAAUGUAUUGCAGAAAACAAGUGUGGGGGAAGGGAUGUGUGUGUGUGCCAAAGACUUUCAGGUGGCACGGGUAGAAAAAGAAAACAAAAGAGAAAAAAUUCGUGGAAAAUAGAAAGAAGAAAAGAAAAGUUGUGAAAAGUAUGGAAAAGAGUUGAAAAAGAUGUGAAAACAAGCUCUAAAGUGUGGUUGUUGAAGAAAGGGUCCAAAACGCUUAAAUUUGGCCCUAAGUGUUGCAUGAAUCUUCCCUUUGUGUUUAAAAGUUGAUUUCUGCAUUCUAAAGUGAAUUCUAAGUUUCAAUUUCAUUACUUUGCUUGCUAUUGCUUUAAGAGCGUUUGUUAUCCUUAUCCUUUCUUUGUU